AUUGAACGCUGGCGGCAUGCCUUACACAUGCAAGUCGAACGGUAACGCGGGGCAACCUGGCGACGAGUGGCGAACGGGUGAGUAAUGCAUCGGAACGUGCCCAAUAGUGGGGGAUAGCCCGGCGAAAGCCGGAUUAAUACCGCAUACGACCUGAGGGUGAAAGCGGGGGAUCGCAAGACCUCGCGCUUUUGGAGCGGCCGAUGUCGGAUUAGCGAGUUGGUGGGGUAAAGGCCUACCAAGGCUACGAUCCGUAGCUGGUCUGAGAGGACGACCAGCCACACUGGGACUGAGACACGGCCCAGACUCCUACGGGAGGCAGCAGUGGGGAAUUUUGGACAAUGGGGGCAACCCUGAUCCAGCCAUGCCGCGUGCGGGAAGAAGGCCUUCGGGUUGUAAACCGCUUUUGUCAGGGAAGAAACGGCUUGGGUUAAUACCCCGGGCUAAUGACGGUACCUGAAGAAUAAGCACCGGCUAACUACGUGCCAGCCGCCGCUGUAAUAC
rnacentral:rRNA from 1 species